GGAGGGAUGGCCGAGCGGCUGAAGGCGCCGGUUUGCUAAACCGGUAUACGGGGAUAACUCGUAUCGAGGGUUCGAAUCCCUCUCCCUCCGCCA
rnacentral:tRNA from 1 species